rnacentral:rRNA from 1 species
CAGCAGCCGCGGUAAUACGAAGGGUGCAAGCGUUACUCGGAAUUACUGGGCGUAAAGGGUGCGUAGGUGGUCUUUUAAGUCCGUUGUGAAAUCCCUGGGCUCAACCUGGGAAUGGCAGUGGAUACUGGAAGGCUAGAGUGCGGUAGAGGGUAGUGGAAUUCCCGGUGUAGCAGUGAAAUGCGUAGAGAUCGGGAGGAACACCAGUGGCGAAGGCGGCUACCUGGACCAGCACUGACACUGAAGCACGAAAGCGUGGGGAGCAAACAGGAUUAGAUACCCCCGUAGUCCCUGUCUCUUAUAC